rnacentral:rRNA from 1 species
AGCGAACGCUGGCGGCAGGCCUAACACAUGCAAGUCGAACGAUCCUUCGGGAUAGUGACGGACGGGUGAGUAACACGUGGGAACGUGCCCUUUGGUUCGGAACAACUCAGGGAAACUUGAGCUAAUACCGAAUGUGCCCUUCGGGGGAAAGAUUUAUCGCCAUUGGAGCGGCCCGCGUCUGAUUAGCUAGUUGGUGAGGUAAUGGCUCACCAAGGCGACGAUCAGUAGCUGGUCUGAGAGGAUGAUCAGCCACAUUGGGACUGAGACACGGCCCAACCUCCUACGGGAGGCAGCAGUGGGGAAUCUUGCGCAAUGGGCGAAAGCCUGACGCAGCCAUGCCGCGUGAAUGAUGAAGGUCUUAGGAUUGUAAAAUUCUUUCACCGGGGACGAUAAUGACGGUACCCGGAGAAGAAGCUCCGGCUAACUUCGUGCCAGCAGCCGCCGUAAGAC